AUGUACCACCCAUACGAAAACCAAAAUCAGACCAAAGGCACACUAGUGAGGAAGCAAAGCAGUGGUGCAACGUUUCACUUUAGUUCCCUAUAUCUAGAAGAAAUUACAAACCCGUACCCUGUCCGGCGCUAUCCCCCUCCGCCGUUGGCAGCGGCGGCGCCGUCCUCAGCGAGCGAGGCUCGGCAGUUGGGGCAGGAGGUGUGCGUGGCGAGCCACAUGUCGAUGCAGCGGACGUGGAAUCCGUGGUGGCACCGCGGGAGCACGCGCACCUUCUCGCCGUCGGCGAACUCGCCGAGGCAGAUGGCGCACUCCGUGGCCGUGGCCGGGAGGGCGCCGCCGGAAGACUUGGCCCCGCCAUACACCUCCACGGGUAUCUUCCUCAGCGCCUUCCUCUUGAGCCCCGCCUGCACGUGCACGGAUGUCGUCGUCCUCGCCGCGGUGGCGCUGGCCGCGAGGCUCGACGACGGCGCGAGCCGGCGGCCGCACUGGAGCACGCAGCGGAUGACGGAGUUGAGCCCGAGCGCGAAAAUGAGAACGCAGAGCAGCGCGGCGAGGAUGAUCACCAUGUUGGCGUCGAAGUUGGCGUUGCUCCCCGCAGCGGCCGGCGACGCCAAGGUGCCGCCCGCCGCCGCGGCCGCCGCGGGGGUGACGAGCGGCGUGGCCUCCCCUGCGUCGCUGAGCCGCCGCAUGGUGUGCCUGCGUACCAGCCGAGCUUGCGAGCUGCUGAUGGACGUGUGUGUGGUGGUUUCAGGAAGAAAUCAAGAGAGUGUUUUGGUUCGGGAUAUGAUCGAGUAG
rnacentral:rRNA from 1 species